AUCCCGUGAACCAUCGAGUCUUUGAACGCAAGUUGCGCCCGAAGCCACCAGGCCAAGGGCACGCCUGCCUGGGUGUCACCAAUCGUUUCCCCAGCCCCGACGCCUUGCGGCACCGGGCGGGGUGGAUGAUGGCUUCCCGUGAGCGAGCGCCUCGCGGCUGGCUGAAAAUCGGGUUCGUGGUCGAGCGUAGCGCCAUGACAGACGGUGGUUGAGCGCGGUCUCGAGGCCAGUCAUGCGCGCCCCUCCACCGGUUACGGACUCCGUGACCCCGAGCGACACCGAUCGCCUUUGAUGCGACCUCAGGUCAGGCGG
rnacentral:rRNA from 1 species